UGGGUCACACCACUGCACACCGCAGCCCCACUCCACUUGGAGCUAUUUUUGUUCAGGCAGGAGGGGGGAGGGCCUUCUAUGAUUUGUCAUAUUGCAGAAGUAAGUGCAGCAUUCUGUGGUGCAGAAGAGACCAGGGUUGUUUUUUAUUCCCCUUCCCUGUUUGGAAAAUAACUUUGACUUGAGAUAAAAGGGCUACUUGUAGGUCAUUAGUCAUGGGGAAGCUUACAAGGUGGAUCAGGCAGAUUCGUCGGCUUGAUCCUGUCCACUCAUGUGACAUUUAGAGGGAGAGCAAGUGGUUGCUGCCCUAGUUUUCAAUCUUCCUCCCACUCCGUUACUUUCUGAGUACUCAGAGCCUGGCCUUGCAUCUCUGGUCUGUGUUGGUAACAGCAGCCCGGGUUAAGUCUGCUUCUUAAAAAAAAAGACGAGAUGAAUCUGAAGUUUAUGUUCAGUCCGUAAUAACUUGUUUGGAGACAGAGCAAAAUAGGGGGAAGAGAGAGGCGUGUGGGAGUCAAAGUUACUGUAGUCAGCUUGGUGAGUGCCUCAUUGCAGGAGGAGAUGGAACAAGAAAGUGAAGAGAGAGAGAGGUGUUGCAGUGUGCUUCCUGAAGGAGCUGUUUCUGCCUGGUCGUUUCCUGGAGAUCUCUGAGAGAUAAUCAGUUCCGGAUGUCAAUCCUGGAGCGACUGGAGCAGAUGGAGAAACGGAUGGCAGAGAUGACUGGUUCAUCCUCCAAUCAGCAACAAUCGAUGGGCUCAGGGGACAAGAUGCACAUCCAGGCAUCUUCCGAUUCUUUUGAGGAAAGAAUUAUCGCUGUCUGUGAGGCGAUGAUGUCCCGGUCCAACUGGCUACGCUCUGAACGGCUCCUUCAUGGAAUCAGUUUCCGGGGAAUGACCCUGUUACACCUUGCGGCAGCUCAGGGAUACGGCCAGCUCAUCGCGACUCUCAUCAAGUGGAGGC